rnacentral:rRNA from 1 species
ACAGCAGUAGCCGCGGGAAUACAGAGGGUGCGAGCGUUAAUCGGAUUUACUGGGCGUAAAGCGUGCGUAGGCGGCUUUUUAAGUCGGAUGUGAAAUCCCUGAGCUUAACUUAGGAAUUGCAUUCGAUACUGGGAAGCUAGAGUAUGGGAGAGGAUGGUAGAAUUCCAGGUGUAGCGGUGAAAUGCGUAGAGAUCUGGAGGAAUACCGAUGGCGAAGGCAGCCAUCUGGCCUAAUACUGACGCUGAGGUACGAAAGCAUGGGGAGCAAACAGGAUUAGAUACCCCCGUAGUCCCUGUCUCUUAUAU